CAUAAUUCAAAUCGUCAAUUGAUAGAUAUGUUAAUAAUUUUGUUUUAUAUAUUCUUUGUAACUUGUGUGUUUAAAAGAGAGGUUAACAUUGGACUUUAAGCCUACUACAAGCUCUAAAUGUCUAACUCUAUUCAGUUUUCACAGGCCAGAGAUUCAGUGUGAUUUCAGAAGUCAAGAGCAUCUUAGAUCCCUGGGGAUUUUUCCUCUUCUUGCUCAGUCUAUCACAUAGGACAAAAAUAGUGCCAUGUAAAAAGUGCAGAUAAAUAAG
rnacentral:lncRNA from 1 species